UACGUAGGGUGCAAGCGUUAUCCGGAAUUAUUGGGCGUAAAGAGCUCGUAGGCGGUUUGUCGCGUCUGCUGUGAAAACCGGAGGCUCAACCUCCGGCCUGCAGUGGGUACGGGCAGACUAGAGUGUGGUAGGGGAGACUGGAAUUCCUGGUGUAGCGGUGAAAUGCGCAGAUAUCAGGAGGAACACCGAUGGCGAAGGCAGGUCUCUGGGCCACUACUGACGCUGAGAAGCGAAAGCAUGGGGAGCAAACAGG
rnacentral:rRNA from 1 species